UUUACACUUCCGGUCCUUCAGUUGAGAUUUUUGAAAAGAAGAUGGACGCCAUUGAAGUACAGCGUGGGAUAGUAAAAGGGUCAGCAAAAUGCUCAUCAAUGUCCAGUACCAUGGAGAAAAAAGUACCUCAAACUGCAGCCUGGUUUUUCUUUUCAAAGUUUAAUUCGAGAAGGCACAUCAAUCCACUGGUGCAAAAGAAGAGAACACCUCUGCCAUAGGAGAUUCAGCAGAAAAAGGCCAAACAGAAGGAUACCAGUACGAAGUCAAGGAAAAAGAUAUGCACUCGGCAUUGUGACUGUUUCCUAAUCUCAGGGAUCCUUACUCCACCAAUGGCUAUGAACACUUCUACGAUGCUGGAAGAGGGACGGGCUAUCUGGCAUGGCGCCUAAAGCAACGAGUGUCGCAGCGUUUGGUCAAGAACAGCUCGGGAGCCUUGGAAUACAUGAACACCAUGAGCUUUUUAAGGAGGUAGACUUUCUAAUGAGGAGACACAGCACUCAAAAAAUCCUCCAUAGAAAUGCAUAGGGUUAGUUUGUAACGUAUGGUGUUGUCUACAUAUAUCACACCCCCCUCCGUGGCAAAACGUGGACAUGUAAAUACAUUGAGCCAAUCAUGUGGUGUGUUGUGAAGACAUUGAUUGUGCCAAUCAUGUGUUGUGAUCUUGCCGCUGGAGCAAGAUUGGUGUUGUGAAGCCUGCCGAAAGUGCCCAAAAUGCGUUGCAAUAUGGCUGCUGAGUGGAGGGACUUGCCUAAAAGGACUUUGGGUAUACCCACAUGUAACAUCACUUCAUGGUGCAUUAUCUGUCUUGCUUAUGGAAAAUUGGCCCAUUAUUGCACAUCUCUAGUAAUAGGUUUGAAGCAAAACACAAGUUUGUGAAAUUGUAAAAAACUCUUGAUUAUAUUGUUUUAUUUCUUGUUUAUGAAAUGUUUACUCAGUGUUGCAGAGCAUUUUCAUGCAUAUGUGGUUAUGGAUUGUGAGGAACAUUGUUUUAUUGUUAAAGUCAAUGAUUUGUAUGA